CUUCACGGAGCCGAGCCACAGCGGCUGCUCCGCCGGGCGGUCCGCGCCGUACGUCGCGAGCAGGGCCUGCGCCUC
rnacentral:antisense_RNA from 19 species